UCUAAUUUCCUUUUUAUUAACAUAUCUUUUUAUUAACAAUUUUUUUUUUUUACUUUUUUAUUUUACUCUUUGGACAUAACACAACACCGACAUGACAUUAUUACCCAAAAUUUCCUUUAAAGAUUACGUGGCAUAGUGAAGUGUGUCCGGCAGAAGUUGAUGUAACAUGCAAAAGAUGUACCACACACAAAACACAAAUAUGACCAUACAUGUCAUAUGUACCCUCUUCACAACUGAUCAACACGUGGAACUUUUCAUAUGCUUUUUUGUCAUCAUAAUAAUUCACACAAACAACAACAUUGAAUUUCAACACAUGAUAUGAUACAUUCAAACAUCACUCUUUCUUUCUUCUUUCUUCUUUCUUCUUUCUUCUAACUUCUAAACACCUUCUCAAUUUUUCUUUCUUUUUCUUCUCCAUAAUAACAUUGUGAGCCACUUUUAAUGGACCUUACUCUUAAGCUUUCUCCUUGCGGUGAAAAUGUGGAAGAAAGGAAGUUGAUAAGGUCUUCUUCAUUGGUGGGUGGAGAGAUAAGAAGUGUUAGUGUUUCGAAUUGGUGUCCAUUUGGGUCAUCUAUAGAGAGAUCUUCAUCUCUUCCAAUUGAUGGUGGGGAGAGAAUGGUUCUAGAGAGGCAGAGAAAGGUGGCAGCUUCAGAGCUUCAUGGUAAGUUUUCAAUGUUUGAUAUGAUUUUCAAAAUGCCAAUUUCUAAAAUUGUUUUUAAUCUUAAGAUUUGUAUUUUGACAAUUACUUGUGUUUUACUUAGCUAUUCUCGUAUGCAACACUGACACCUAGACUGACACAUACAUGUGAUUAGGAUAACUUAUGUUCAAUGUUUACUGUCGUGUCUGGUAUGUGCGCGCCGGUGUCGUGUCUGGUAUCUGUGUUAGUGCUUCAUUGUUCAUAUGUCAUAUAAUCCUUUGAUUUGUGACACUUUGGGUCAUGAUUUUAAAUUGUGGUCGGAGUGAGAUUGUGAUCAUUGCGGUUAGGUGCAUUGUGGUCAUUGUGGCUGUUGCAAUAUGAAUUUUGACCGUGACCGGAAGGUGUUUGAAAUACAUAGAUGAGAACUUAAAGUUAAAAAAAUUUGUUAUAUUAAAAGAAAAUUGAAUUUGAUGUUCUAAAAUUUUGAUUUUUUGAUGGAAAACUUAACAAACAUGGGUAAAAUUGUAUUGUUUGAUGUGGUUCAUAAUGUGGUCGCACUCAGGAUUUAAAAUCACUGCAAUUGUAGUCUGAUGCGGUUGCGGAGACUACCACAUCAUCAAUAUUACGGCCGCAAUUGCUGAAGUUAGGGUUGCAAACUCCAAUGCAUUAGGUGAUUACAUAGUUUUUGGGACUACCUAACUGAAUUACAACUGCAAUUGUGACCGCAUUGGCCGCAUUUGUCUGUAUUUUUCUGCAAUAUCAAUGUUUGCGUCAUAACCACUCUACUACCGCAAUUUAAAACCAUUCUAAUAUGACACUCUACAACCGCAAUUUAAAACAUUUCUAAUCUUUCUUUGUUAUGUAAAUUCAUUUUUGUUUCCUCGACAUGUUUGGUACCAUGUUGAAAAACCGACGAAAGUGCUUCAAAUAUGCACUUUAUAAGCUCAAAUAAGUGCUCAUACAACAUUUCAUAUGUAGGUCCAAGAAAUUCAUCUGAAGGAGUAGUUGCUUCCAGUUUCCAGAUAUCAACCAAACACGAAAACAAAUCAACGAUUUUCCCGAAAGCGACAAUCAAGGAAAUUCCAGUUCCGCCUAAGUCUACCGAUACUAAGAUUAAGAAUCAAACAAAAAAGCUUAAUCUCCCUAACUACUGCAGUCUUAAGGGUGAUGUGAUGGAGAAACUGAGACAAAUGCCGACCGUAACAACGACCGGAGACGGACCAAACGGUAAGAGAAUAGAAGGCUUUCUUUACAAGUAUAGAUCCGGUGAAGUUUGUAUCGUAUGCGUCUGCCAUGGUAGCUUCCUCACACCAAAAGAGUUUGUGAUUCAUGCUGGUGGAAAAGAAGUGGCUAAUCCAAUGAAGCAUAUCACUGUUUAUCCUGUCUCAUUUUAGAGAUCAAUGGUAACAAUGUCGAUUAUUUCGGCUUUCUUAGAAUGUAGAGGUACGUGAAAACGAUGAAAUUAUCUUUGAUUAGUUUAGCUUUAAUGAUGAUCAUAUUCAUUGUUCAAGUGGUUUGUGUAGAAGAAAAUCUUCAUCAGAAAAAUCUGUUUGUUAAAAGCUUUUCCUUAUUAGUAUUUCUUUGCAAUAUCAUUGACCCAUAAAAUACUAAACUACGAGACUCAAAUCACCUAAACUUUUAAUCAACAAAAAAAAACUAUGUUAUACUAUCGUCAAAGCGACGUAGGAACAGAGCCGUCUUAAGAUUUUGGAGGUCCUGUGUAGGUUAACUACGGUUCAACCAUGAUUUAACCGUGACAAAUCUAUCAUAAGGUUCUAUUUAGCCUCAAUUUAACUGUGGAAAAUUUGAGGUCUUGUGCUGUAAGCCUGUAACACUUUGCACACCCUCGAAGACGGUGCUGUAUAGGAAGAUUAUUUUCAUCGAAGCCAAGAGACUCUAAUGUGAUCUAGUGACAACAUGUGAAGCAAGAUAGCCAUCUGUUCUGGCAAGCAUUUGAUGCUGGUUUGGUGUUUUGAGCUGCUGGUUUGGUGUUUUGAGCUGCAGAUGGUGGUGCUGUUGCUUUCACAUUCUGUAGUUGCCCUGACUGCUUCAGCUGCUUUUUCGUGUCUUCGCCGUGUUUUGACGAAAGACGUUUUUCUCCAUCUGCAAAUCUUCACAUUACCAAAAAACAGUUAAACCUUUUUUCUCAAGAAAAUUAAGUCAAAUAAAGGCUUAAACCUCAUCAUCCCAGUGUUUUUGGUAUAUGUAGUACCAACUCCUCUGGAAAAAGGUGUGUCUGUGUUAGUAUCAGUGUCUGAAACCAAUACCGACACUUGUAAUUACGUUCGAUUUAUUCCGUUUUUCAAACUAUUACUGGUGUUAACGUGUUAGUGUAUGUGUCGUGUUUCUGGUAUCACUACUUCAUAGCAUAAAAGUAGUUAGUAACUUGAACUUACGAUUUAAAUGCGAAAGAUUGGGUGCUUCCAUUUGAAUGCCGAGAACGGUUAUUAUUAGAACAAGAAACUGUAUCCGAAUGCAUAGCCGCAUUAGAAAAUGUCGUAGAACCUUUACUUUUACUAUGUUCCGGUGUUUUACUAGUUUCCAUUAUAACCUCCAGCAUUGUCUCAGCCGCUUUUGCCUCGGUUACUUUCAAACUAUUUUCAUGUUGUUCGGCGAAAUUCGGGCUAAUAUCACUGAAUUUAGUGGCUUGUGUUUGAGGUGAAAGCGGAGGAUGAUUACUUUGAACACCACCAGACAUGUUCAUGUGAUCGACCUGUUUAUCCAAUUCAUCGGAUUUACUCAACCAAGCCAUGUCGUUCGAGAAACUCUUUCCCAUUUGAAUGCUAAACAAUGAUUCAUUAGAGGCACUGCUCCAUUGAGCAUUUAGUUUGUCUUUACCGAAAGCAUGUAAUGGAAUUCUCGGUGUUGAAGAUGGAGUUGCAGAACCAUUCUCUUGUCUUUCCAUUAUCUGCAUCGGAGGGUUUUGUAUCGUCUCGGGAACAAAAGAAACCGGUGAAGAAUUAUUUUGUUCAUGCUUUGGCAUUGAUCUUACUGAGAAUUCAUCAUCACUAGAUUCUGAAGCUAACAUGUUUUCCUUUCGCGAUUUUGGAUGUACAUGAGUAUCAUUCUCGGUGUUACUCGAAGCACUGGGAGAAUCGUGUUUGUGUUGCUGAGUUGAAGAUUCAAAACCUGUAGAAUGAAAAUCAUGUUUGUGUUGCUGAGUUGAUGAUUCGAAACCUGUAGAAUGCGAAUCAUGCAUGUUUUGCGGAGUUGAAGAUUCAUAACCUGUGGAAAAUGAUGAUACUGAUGAGUCUAACUUAUUAGCAACAUUUAGUGGUGGAAAACAGGCAUGUCCUUCCUGCAAAAAUCUAAAAAAAAACAGACGUGACAGGUAUAAUUGAGAGCACGAGUCUAAAAUAUUUUCCUAUCCCACGGAAAAUGAGUGCGGGACGGAUAUAUUAGAGUCUACGGGAUAAACCUUAGUUUGGUUCGUGAAAAAAAACGGGUUACGCCCGUUUUGCCACCUCUAGCAACAUUAUUUGUUGCAAAAUGAAAAAUUGCUUUUUGAGUUUCGACGACCAAUUUUAAAAAACUUUUCAAAUAUGUGGUUAAUGAAUAUAACAUGUGUUAAAAUUCGUUAACCGUGAAUUUUGACUUGAUUAACGACAACUUUUCAGAUAUUCAAUUUUACGCAUAGUUGAACACCUGAAAAUUAAGAUUGGAAGCACAUAUUUAUAGUUAAUAAAGUUACUUCAAUGGUUAAUGAGUUUCGAUAUCCGAAUCUACUAAUCGUAACUAACGACAUAUUUAUACCGCGUAAUCUGAUUGAAAAUGUAUUUGUGGAGAUAUUAUUACCUUUAUGGUUCUUGUGAGAUGCAUUUUCUAGUUGUUGAUUUUGUGUUGAUUCAAGUGGGAACAAAGGGUCAAAUGGUUGACUUGAGGAAGAAGCAUGUGUUGUUACUUCAUGAUUAGGAAACUUCCAAUGAUCUUGAUGAUGCCAAUCAUUACCAUGAUCAUGAUGUUCAACAAUCUUGUGAGAGUCAUGGAAGGGAUUUCCUAGUGAUGAUUCAUAUGUAGGUAGUUGAGGAAAAUUGGCCUCAAAAGGUGCAUGAUCAUGCAACUUUUGAGAUUCAUUUGUACCAUGAUCACUAAGUAGUAAAAAAGGGUUUUGUGGUGAUGAAAAUGAAGGGUCAGAGCUAUUUGGAUAAGGAGAAUGAAAUUCACCAAAAGGGUUAGCAAGAUUUGUUUGGUCAUUGGUGUGAAGAAAAGAUGCAUUUUCAUUAUGAGGUGUUGUAGUGGUUGAAUUUGGCAUAAAGUGAAUGUGAUCAUCAUGUGAAAGUUGUGGUUUCUUUUGUGAGUUAAGUGCUUCACUUGAACUUGAACUUGAAGGAAAUGUUCUAGGAUGAAUAUCAGAUCCACUUCCACUUUUAGAUUCCAUCAGCCAAUAAUGUCAAGUGAUUUUUAGGGUCUUGAUGUUCUGUAAAAACAAGAAUCUCAAUCAAAUACUAAGCCAUAUAUUUAAGAAAAAACAAGGAUUUGUUUCAACUUACAUGAACUUUUUGAACAAGUACACAACUACUUAGUUAAGAUAACUUAAAUAUAAAGUAACAUAAACAACAACAACUAUAUACAAUUUGUCUACAGUCGUCUCUAUCACGCUCAAGAUUAUUAAGUUUGGUGUAUAAAUAUGAAUGGUGGAAGAUCUAAUAGUAAAAACUUAAUAGAAAUUUCUAUCAUGCUUGAUACUAUUCGAAUUCGAUUUGGUGCAUAAAUAUAAAUGUUUGAAAAUCUUAUAGCGAAAAGCUAAUAGCAGAUUCUCUCACGUUGGUGCAUCAAUAUAAAUGGUAAGAGAUUUGAUAACGAAAAUCUAAUAGCAAUCUAUCACAUUCAACACUAUUAAGCUUGUGCAUCAAUAUAAUUAUGAAGCAUAGACAUCUUUAAGAGUAGGCAUAACACAGUGUUUGACACGUGUCGAUGUUCGACACUUGUAUGACACUCGUACAACACGUGUUGAAAAAGUCAGACAAAUAUCAGAAAAAAGUUGGACAAACAUUCUCAAAUAAAUGAUUUAUUUUCUUUUUUUGACAUUUUUUAAAUCAAUGUCUGACGUUCGUAUAACAUUCAUACAAUUAAACAUAUGUAUUAAAACAAUGUUAUCAAUAAAAAUUAAAGAGAAUAAUUUUGGUUAAGAUAUUUUUAAGUCGUUAUCUACAAGUUCAUAGAUUGAGUCAAUUAGGUCUAAAUUUUGAGUAAAAAACAAUUGAUUCAUACCAUCUAAAUUUUUCAUUUUGUUUGCAAUGUGCAUAAUUUUGUUUCCAACAACAUGAGAUACUAUCAUCAUUAAAGGAUUUGGUCUCUAUCUUAACAAAACGUUACUCAUACAACAAUGCAGUAUGGUUAUUUCUAGCAAUUUCAACAAAUGAUUUGGUCUAUAAAAAAACUAUAAUAACAAACUAAUUCCCUUAUCCCCUUCAUUAAAUAACUAAUUACAUUAUCAUGAUGUACAUAAAUAAAUAAAAGUUGGAAAAUAUCUACAAAACAUAAACAUGUAAUAUGUAACAUGAAGGAUUGUAGAAAUUAUGGAAAAAGAAAUAACACAAGAAUGCAUUGAUGCAAAGUUACCUUAAUCUCAGUUCCAUUACCUCAAUCUCAUGUAGUGGGAAAAAAAACAGGAAUCAGAAAAAUUGAACAAAAGUAAGAUUUGAGAGGAAAAGAGGUUGCAACAGAAAAAGGUUAAAUAAAGGAGAGGGCUUUCCACAAGUUUAGGUGUUUUCCUUUACUAACAUAAUUCCAUAGCCUCAAUUUAAUCUUUCAUUUUUUCCCUCAUUUUUAAUAUUUCAUAAAGAAAAAAUCUUAUUUUUUUAUAACUAUAAAAAAUUAUUUAUGUAAUUUAUUUAUGAAUUUAAAUGAUUUUUUACACUAUGGUUAAUCACAAUUAUUAGAUCAUUUGAUUUUUUACCAUAACUAUCAAUAAAAUCAUAUUCAUGGUUAUUGUUCUGGGUCGGCCAUAUCCUCGUCAAUCCAACCAUAUUUUCAGAUAUCCGACCCUUAUAAGGAAAGAACUUUCUAGAUUAAUCUAAUUCAGACAUGUUUCUUUUCUAGUCCGGCCACCUCCAGGCGUAACAUCCCGGAUCCAAUUCAAGUACAUACUAAAGCUUCUAGAACAUUCUCCUCACCACUAGACCUUUAGUGAUCUGGAAGCAGUGGAUUCCUCCCUCCAAUGCAUCCAACAGUCUUUCACAUUCUCGUUUGAAAGUUAGCAAGUUAGUUAUCUCUUCCCCUAUAUGUGGAUGACGUCAUUUCAGGUAAAAAGUUUCAAACACAAUUUGAAUAAUCUUUCAUCAUACACAUAUUGACUUGAGCGUCGGAUUGUUAACCUUGCAGGUACACCCCCCGCUUCGUCGCAACGGAAACUCUCUUAUACCAUAGCUUUUGUGACUACACAUAUUUCUGGUUCUAAUACGGAACAAUGGCGUCAUCUAUAGGAAUCGACUUCUGAUUUCCUCGUUUUCAUAAAAAACGAGUGAGCAUAAAUGACAACCUUAUGAAAACACUCAAGAAGACAGAUUCAGAUCCAGUUCCUCAUGUCUCACAUGUCGAUUGAUUUGCGCUGAGUACCGGUUCAGAGUUUCAACGAAAUAAUCGAUCAGAGUUAGGGUUCUUGCGCUGAGUACCGGUUCAGAGUGUCACCCUGGUGACGGGCUACCCGUCGUGCUGUCAAAAUGACGUUUUUGUCCCUAUUGCUUAGUUCGAGUUGUCAGUUCGGAAUUUCGAUGUCAUUUUAUACUUUAGUGGGUAAUUAUAUAUUAUUUGGUUGUAUUUGUGUUGAUUAAUUAAUUAUUAUGAAUUUAAUUAAUUAUGGUAGAAUUUCGUUGUUGAAUGAUAAUUGUUUUACUUACAUGUUGAUGUUUCUAUGGUGUUGGAGUUGUAUGGAAUACAUAUGAUGAUGUUUUAUAUUAUUGUGAAAUGGGUUAAAUACACUUUUCCCCCCUGUAAUGUUAGCGAGUUUAGGAUUACCCCCUGUAAAAAUAUUUUUUGUAAACCCCCCCUUAUGUUAUGUAGAUUCCUUCAUAGAACCCCCUAAUAUCCAGGUGGCAUGGAUCUAAUAAGAGGUCCUACACCUGGCAUAUUUUUAAUUUGUUAAAGUGAUUAUGUGUCAUUUUACACUUUUUAAUUUCAAAUACCCCUUAGAAAAUUAGGGUUCUGAACAUAGCAGGGAAGACGAAGACGAAAUUUCCAGGGGAAGACGAAGACGAAGAAGAAGAAUGCAGGGAACGAAGCAAACGAGAAAGACGAGAAGAUUUGAUGGUAAUUUGUGGGGUUAGGAUGCUGCGAUGGGGCUGGUGUUGAGUGCUGCAACUGGUAGAGGAUGGACAACGGGUUCGGGGAUGGAAGGGGCCUGUUCCUGCUGUUGGAAGGAUGAUCAAUUUGGACGGGGAAUAUUUCAACUUUUCCGUGGUCGCUCUUUACAAAAUUCCCGAGGGGAGGAUGCUUAUCGCUUUUACUUGUACCAUCUGUGGCCAGCGAACUACGCGGGCUAUUAAUCCUCAUGCGUAUAAUGAUGGAACUGUUUUUGUUCAGGUAACACUUUGUUUUUGUUCAACUAAGGUUUUUUCUGAAAUAGCUUAUUUUAAUAAGCUUUUUCUCAGAAUGGCCUAUUGAAAUAGCUUUUGCGAAGCUUACCAUCCAUCUGUUGUUCAAUUUAUUUUACCUCAAAUUCCAUUUUAAAAUGAAAACAAAUAUCUGCAAUGCAAUAGCUUGUCAAUGUCAACGCAUAUAUCAAAUUGGAAUAGAUCGCUGAGUUUAAGCAUUUAUGUCAUAAGCUCUCUGGUUUUUAUUUUGAUUUGUCUACAAACAUGCCAAAAUGUUAUUCUGUCAUGUGUGGUUCUGGAAGAUGCAACUGUUUUUGGGAUGUAGGAUAUUAUACACCAAAUCUUUUAGUUAUGCUGUAUCAUAUAUGACCAUAGUUUUCAGAUGGUAUAAUUUGCAUAUUGAUUGUGUAGCUGAACUGCUCAUAGUUUGGUUAAAUUACUUAUGCGAACUGCCAUGGAUUGCACGAGAAGGCAUUCAUCUGUAAACUGAAUCUUUAGGGGAAAUCCUGAAAGGUUAUUAAUGAUUUGAAGAUUAUAUUGGAAUAACAAGCUAACCAUUGGAGUCUGAAACUUAACCUCUGAAAGAUGACAAUCGUAAACUGUCAUGAAGUUGCAAGACUUCGGUUGGCCUUGUUAAUAUAGUACUUAUAAAUUUGAUAGUAUUAUGAUUUUAAUACUUUGAUGAUUUAUUUUUAUAAUUAAAACAUGUAUAUCAUAUUGUUUUCAACAUAUUGUUACAUAUUUGCACUCUAUGUAUGAAUGGCAAAGUCUACUUCAACCCUGCCGGUUGGUUUUAUAAUCUCAAAAUCAGCCCUAGAAAAAUGGAUGUGGAUAUUCUGGAGGGCCAAAUUUUAAUGCAGAAAGGAUGUAAAAUUGUAGUUGUUGAAAAAAAGAGUUAGAAUGUCAUGUUAAAUUUCAAAUGGGAACUGAAAGAAAAAAGCUAACAUACAUUGUUUUUCCAUUGUUGGCAGUGUUUGGAUGCAAUGCGUACCAUAAGCUCGUGGAUCACUUGAACUUGUUUCAGGAGACAAAUUGCUAUCUGAAUUCAAGUUUUAAUUAUAAAGGUCCUGGAUGGAUGAUCUUAAGUUCAGGUUCAUGGACGUUGAUAGCGACAGCGAUGAUGAUAUAUUCCCAGUUACAUGAGUGAAUUACCAGCUUAUGGAGUAUAUAUUUUCUCUGCACUCUGACUUAAGAAAUUUAGAUCAGUUGUAAUGUAUAUUGUUUAUGUUUUCAUGCUUAAUAGUAACAUUUGUUAGAGGAUGCUUUGUAUAGUAUAUGUGUAUGUAUAGCUUCGCAACCGAAUUGUACGAUCAUGAAUUUAAUCAUGUACAUACUUUGCAUAACUACUUCUUUUGUUGUAUGUAUAGCUCACACACUUAACACAAUCAUCCAUACAUAUAACAUACUAAAUAUUACAGUUCUUCACAGAAAGGAUGAUUAAACAACAUAAGUCUAAGGCUGUAAGAUAAUGUGGUUCAUAAAUACAUUACCACAUUCCCUCUUCAUAAUUGCAGAAAAUUCUGUGACUUAGCAGUGGUUCACCUGAUUACUAUUUUCAAAACCACUUCACUGAGUCAUGAGUCAUGUUUCUUUUUCUGUAAUUCACCUUUGUGUGUUCUUGGUGUCUCCGUGUGUCAAAGCAUAUAGAUGUCUUGAGUAGAAGUAGAACCUACACCUAAAGUAUGUUCAUUCUAUUAUUUUGCAACUUAUCUCUCACAGGUUAUGUACAACACUUUUUGGAGAGGCAAAAUGAUGAAUGAAAUAUAAUGUUUGUUGCUUCUGCGCAUAAAUAAUAGGCUGAUUUAUCUCCCCCCUCAGACCAAGGUGUCUGUGCAACGGUUACUACUAACUUUGUCGCCAACAAUAGGAGGCGCAGCACGAAUCAUAAGACUAUAGGAAAAUGCUGUCAUCUGCAAUACAAUGUAAUAUGUCAACUUCAUGGCAGGAAAAUUAGAAGAACAAUGGAAGAACUAAUUGAUAAGUGAUGAAUGAUAGUUGACAAGUGAUGAAGGGUAAUCUUACCAGUAUUAGCCCAAGGCACAUUAGGCUGAAUCCUGGAAAAUUAAACGGUGCGUCUUCUGACAGGAACAAGGCUG
rnacentral:lncRNA from 1 species